rnacentral:rRNA from 1 species
GUCUGUGGCCAUGCCACCCUGAACAAGCCCGAUCCCAUCUGAUCUCGGAAGCUAAGGAGACUUGGGCCUGGUUAGUACUUGGAUGGGAGACCACCUAGGAAGACCAGGUGCUGUAGGUG